GCCUUGUUGGCUCAGUUGGUAGAGCAUGUGACUCUUGAUCUCAGGGUCAUGAGUUUGAGUCCCAUGUUGGACC
rnacentral:tRNA from 1 species